rnacentral:lncRNA from 1 species
AGAUUUUCUCUUAUAUCGGAGCUCAUCCAGAUUGAGUCUGGAAGAUGUCUUCAAAGACUUAUACAAUUUCUUACACAUAGUGGCAGCUCUGGUGGUAGCAUCUACCGGUAAAUCCCAAGAUGGAUUGAACUAGAUGAUAAGGAAGCUUUUCGAUCAGAUCCACCUAGAUGGUUUCCUCUUUCACCUUUUUCUUCUACCUUGAAUCACU